AGUGGAGCCUGCGGCUUAAUUUGACUCAACACGGGAAACCUCACCAGGCCCGGACACCGGAAGGAUUGACAGAUUGAGAGCUCUUUCUUGAUUCGGUGGGUGGUGGUGCAUGGCCGUUCUUAGUUGGUGGAGCGAUUUGUCUGGUUAAUUCCGAUAACGAACGAGACUCUAGCCUGCUAACUAGGCGUAUUUCGACAUCCCAAAGGCCCGCCGGUUCGGGGUUUCGGCCCCUUGCCGGUCGCGGUUUUUACUGUCGGCGUACAAACAAUUCUUCUUAGAGGGACAGGCGGCUUCUAGCCGCACGAGAUUGAGCAAUAACAGGUCUGUGAUGCCCUUAGAUGUUCUGGGCCG
rnacentral:rRNA from 1 species